UACGUAGGGCGCGAGCGUUGUCCGGAAUUAUUGGGCGUAAAGAGCUCGUAGGCGGCCUGUCGCGUCAAUUGUGAAAGCCCGGGGCUCAACCCCGGGUCUGCAGUCGAUACGGGCAGGCUAGAGUUCGGUAGGGGAGAUCGGAAUUCCUGGUGUAGCGGUGAAAUGCGCAGAUAUCAGGAGGAACACCGAUGGCGAAGGCAGGUCUCUGGGCAUUAACUGACGCUGAGGAGCGAAAGCGUGGGGAGCGAACAGG
rnacentral:rRNA from 1 species